CCCGUAGUUCAGUUGGUUAGAGCGUCAGAUUGUGGUUCUGAAUGUCGACGGUUCGAGUCCGUCCGGG
rnacentral:tRNA from 1 species